rnacentral:rRNA from 1 species
ACGCAAUAGAUACCCCGGUAGUCCACGCCCUAAACGAUGUCUACUAGUUGUCGGGUCUUAAUUGACUUGGUAAACGCAGCUAAACGCGUGAAGUAGACCGCCUGGGGAGUACGGUCGCAAGAUUAAAACUCAAAGGAAUUGACGGGGACCCGCACAAGCGGUGGAUGAUGUGGAUUAAUUCGAUGCAACGCGAAAAACCUUACCUACCCUUGACAUGGAUGGAAUCCCUGAGAGAUUGGGGAGUGCCCGAAAGGGAACCAUUACACAGGUGCUGCAUGGCUGUCGUCAGCUCGUGUCGUGAGAUGUUGGGUUAAGUCCCGCAACGAGCGCAACCCUUGUCAUUAGUUGCUACGAAAGGGCACUCUAAUGAGACUGCCGGUGACAAACCGGAGGAAGGUGGGGAUGACGUCAAGUCCUCAUGGCCCUUAUGGGUAGGGCUUCACACGUCAUACAAUGGUACAUACAGAGGGCCGCCAACCCGCGAGGGGGAGCUAAUCCCAGAAAGUGUAUCGUAGUCCGGAUUGUAGUCUGCAACUCG